GUGCCAGCAGCCGCGGUAAUACGGAGGAUCCGAGCGUUAUCCUGGAUUUAUUGGGUUUAAAGGGUGCGUAGGCGGCCCGUUAAGUCAGGGGUGAAAUACGGUGGCUCAACCAUCGCAGUGCCUUUGAUACUGACGUGCUUGAAUCCAUAUGAAGUGGGCGGAAUAAGACAAGUAGCGGUGAAAUGCAUAGAUAUGUCUUAGAACUCCGAUUGCGAAGGCAGCUCACUAAGCUGGUAUUGACGCUGAUGCACGAAAGCGUGGGGAUCGAACAGGAUUAGAUACCCUGGUAGUCC
rnacentral:rRNA from 1 species